rnacentral:rRNA from 1 species
UUGAUGCUUACCCUACUAAAGCAUCCGCCCGAGAACUACGAGCACAAACGCUUAAAACUCUAAGGACUUGGCGGUGCCCCAAACCCACCUAGAGGAGCCUGUUCUGUAAUCGACAACCCACGAUGCACCCGACCACUUCUUGCCAAAACAGCCUACAUACCGCCGUCGCCAGCUCACCUCCCCUGAGAGCACAACAGUGAGCCCAAUCGCCCUAACCCCGCUAAUAAGACAGGUCAAGGUAUAGCCCAUGAAGUGGGAGAAAUGGGCUACAUUUUCUAGCUUAGAAAACCCCUUCACACGAAGGGGAGUAUGAAACAACUCCCAGAAGGCGGAUUUAGCAGUAAAGUGGGAUAAUAAAGCCCCCUUUAAACUGGCUCUGAGGCACGUACAUACCGCCCGUCACCCUCCUCACAAGCUUUAACCCCCAAUAAAUAAUAACCCCACCUGCCAAAGAUGAGGUAAGUCGUAACAAGGUAAGUGUACCAGAAGGU